CAGCAGCCGCGGGAAUACGUAGGGCGCAAGCGUUGUCCGGAAUUAUUGGGCGUAAAGAGCUCGUAGGCGGUCUGUCGCGUCUGGUGUGAAAUCCCGAGGCUCAACCUCGGGCUUGCAUCGGGUACGGGCAGACUAGAGUGCGGUAGGGGAGACUGGAAUUCCUGGUGUAGCGGUGGAAUGCGCAGAUAUCAGGAGGAACACCGAUGGCGAAGGCAGGUCUCUGGGCCGCAACUGACGCUGAGGAGCGAAAGCAUGGGGAGCGAACAGGAUUAGAUACCCCAGUAGUCCAUGUCUCUUAUAC
rnacentral:rRNA from 1 species